rnacentral:rRNA from 1 species
UACGUAGGGGGCAAGCGUUGUCCGGAUUUAUUGGGCGUAAAGAGCUCGUAGGCGGUGUGUCGCGUCGGCCGUGAAAACCUGCAGCUUAACUGUGGGCUUGCGGUCGAUACGGGCAGACUGGAGUACUGCAGGGGAGACUGGAAUUCCUGGUGUAGCGGUGGAAUGCGCAGAUAUCAGGAGGAACACCGGUGGCGAAGGCGGGUCUCUGGGCAGUAACUGACGCUGAGGAGCGAAAGCGUGGGGAGCGAACAGG